rnacentral:rRNA from 1 species
AUUGAACGCUGGCGGCAUGCUUUACACAUGCAAGUCGAACGGCAGCACGGGUGCUUGCACCUGGUGGCGAGUGGCGAACGGGUGAGUAAUGCAUCGGAACGUGCCCAUGAGUGGGGGAUAGCCCGGCGAAAGCCGGAUUAAUACCGCAUACGCCUACGGGGAAGGACGGGGACCGUUCGGGCCGUCGCGCUAGCAGAUGAGCCUGCGUAGGAUUAGCUAGUUGGUGAGGUAAAGGACGUCACCAAGGCGACGAUCCUUAGCUGGUCUGAGAGGAUGAUCAGCCACACUGGGACUGAGACACGGCCCAGACUCCUACGGGAGGGCAGCAGUGGGGAAGUAUUGCGCAAUGGGCGAAAGCCUGACGCAGCCAUGCCGCGUGUGUGAAGAAGGCCUUAGGGUUGUAAAGCACUUUCAAUUGGGAAGAAAAGUUAGGUC